GAGCUGAAGGUAGGAAAUUCCAACAUUCUGAAGUCUUCAGCAAAUCUUAGCAGAUCAUCUCCUCCUCACAGUCCUGUCUUUAGAGAACAGGGUCGAUAUUUCGGCUUCUGCGAACUCAGAUGUCAUCUUUUCUUCCCUAAAGUUUUUAAAGUUCCUAUUGAUAUAUUCCCCUGCCUAGAGGGUUUGGUGGUCGUUUUCUUCCUCUUAACUUUAUUAAG
rnacentral:lncRNA from 10 species